rnacentral:rRNA from 1 species
UCGAGCGAUGAUGAGGAGCUUGCUCCUCUGAUUUAGCGGCGGACGGGUGAGUAACACGUGGGCAACCUGCCCUGUAGACUGGGAUAACUUCGGGAAACCGGAGCUAAUACCGGAUAAUCCAUUUCACCUCAUGGUGAAAUGUUGAAAGACGCUUUCGGGCGUCACUACAGGAUGGGCCCGCGGUGCAUUAGCUAGUUGGUGGGGUAACGGCCUACCAAGGCGACGAUGCAUAGCCGACCUGAGAGGGUGAUCGGCCACAUUGGGACUGAGACACGGCCCAAACUCCUACGGGAGGCAGCAGUAGGGAAUCUUCCACAAUGGACGAAAGUCUGAUGGAGCAACGCCGCGUGAGUGAUGAAGGUUUUCGGAUCGUAAAACUCUGUUGUAAGGGAAGAACAAGUACGUUAGGAAAUGAACGUACCUUGACGGUACCUUAUUAGAAAGCCACGGCUAACUACGUGCCAGCAGCCGCGGUAAUACGUAGGUGGCAAGCGUUGUCCGGAUUUAUUGGGCGUAAAGCGCGCGCAGGUGGUUUCUUAAGUCUGAUGUGAAAGCCCACGGCUCAACCGUGGAGGGUCAUUGGAAACUGGGAGACUUGAGUGCAGAAGAGGAUAGUGGAAUUCCAAGUGUAGCGGUGAAAUGCGUAGAGAUUUGGAGGAACACCAGUGGCGAAGGCGACUGUCUGGUCUG